rnacentral:lncRNA from 1 species
UUGGAGUCCGGUAUAAGUCCAUCAAGUGGCAUCUGGUUUCCAGUGUGGGUGUGUUUUGGUUCGGAAUCUGAUGUAAGCCCAUCGAUUGGCAUUCGGAUUCCAUGUUUGCCUGUGUCUGUUGUGUUUGGUGUGCGUAAGCCGAGCUACGGAUGCUCUGAUUCUUCUUCGUCCGAGAAGAUACGUAUGCAUAGGAUGCGACAUCCUAGCGAGCAUGUUUUCC